UACGGAGGGUGCGAGCGUUAAUCGGAAUCACUGGGCGUAAAGCGCGCGCAGGCGGCCCGGCCGGUCCGGCGUGAAAUCCCCGGGCUCAACCUGGGAACGGCGCCGGAUACCGCCGGGCUGGAGUGUGGGAGAGGGGCGUGGAAUUUCCGGUGUAGCAGUGAAAUGCGUAGAGAUCGGAAGGAACACCGGUGGCGAAGGCGGCGCCCUGGACCAACACUGACGCUGAGGCGCGAAAGCGUGGGGAGCAAACAGG
rnacentral:rRNA from 1 species